GCUCUUGUGGAUGCUGCCUGAAUCCACGGGAGACAAGCACUCAUGUGAUGAGAUACGAGGAAUGUUCCCUGCAUGAAAAACGUCUAACACGCACACAGCCUGCAAUUCCCAUAAAUCCCCGCAAACCCACUAACACUUCUUGUUACAAAGCAAAUGCUAUCCAGAAUGAGUUGGUGUACCACACAGAUUUCUUGAGCGAAUACACCACAGAGCAAACGAGUUCUUCACUUGGCCUCCAGGGUCCUCAAAUACGAGAGCAGCAGCAGGGCCCUUUUAGUUAA
rnacentral:lncRNA from 1 species